rnacentral:lncRNA from 1 species
UUUGUAGUCUGAUAUGAUGAUAUAUUAUUUGUCAAGUAUGAUAUGAUGCUAUAUUAGUUAUUAUGGCAGUGCUGAAGAAACAAAGAUUUUAGUAAAGCAGCAAUUUUAUAUGCAGACCUCAAAGAUUGGCUUGAGUAUUGGUUUACUUUCAUCAGUAACUCAAUUCAUAUGGUCAAACUCAACCUAUCUCAACACCGAGGGUUUUGAUUGAUUGAUGAUGAAGGUUAUUAACCAC